rnacentral:sRNA from 1 species
UGAAAUCUCGUUCGAGAGUUGCUCGAGGCGGGC